rnacentral:lncRNA from 1 species
CACAAUCAAUUUUUCUUACCAGCCCAAACAAUCAGUUCCUCUUUCUUUGUCAACCCACCACAAAUCUAAAACCACUCAUCUCAUGUUAAUCCCCUUUCACCAUCAUUUUAUCACGAUUCACAAUCGCGAAACCAACUAGUUCGGAUUUCAUCUGUUGCUAACCAUCCUCUUACCACCAUUCAUCACGAAACCAUUGUCCAUUCCUAAUCCCCUCUCAAACCAACCUCCGCAACUACGACGUGAAGCCAAUCGAUUCUCUUAAAUCGUUAAACUUCGACGUGAAGUCCUCAUUGUUUGUUGUCUCGUCGGCUAUUGUGAACCAUAAGGUAAGGAAUUUAUUUUCUAAUUUUUUUAUUAUGCUUCAUUUUUCGUGUUUUUUUUUCUAUGACCUUAUCAUUUUGAAUUUGCUUAACUUAAAGAAAUUCUGAAAAUGAUUCAAUUGAGAAUGUUUAUGUCUGUUGAUUUUAGGACUUGAGAUAAAUGUAGUUUGAUGAAAUUAAUUUUGUGCUAUAAAUUUGAUUAAAAUUGAUUUGAAGUGAAGUGAUUUAUGUUUAAAUGUUUUUGUCUUAAAACAGCUCUAUUUAUCACUUGAAUAAAGUGUUUUGAUUAUAGCAGAUUUAAUUUGGCUAUAGUAGAUAACAAAUGUAAAUGGAUAUCCAUGAUUAUGAGUAGUUAUUAUUUGUUACUCCUUCAAUUGAAUAAAGUAUUUUGUGUACUGACGUCAUAGGCAUCUGUUAGACACUAGUCAUAAUUUUAGCUAAAGUUAAAAGAAUUUUCAUUUGUGUGUCUGGUUUUGGAUGAUUUAAUAACAAUUAAAAAUAUAAGAUUUUUAUAAUUCAGCAUGUUCAUUUUUCCUUACCAUUUGAACAUUUGAAGCCAUAUUUUAGUCUCACUGUACAGUUUCAAUGUUUCCAAAAAUGUACUUUUUCCUCUUACUCUCCCAAAAUCUAUUUGUUAAUUAUUUUCUUUGACUUUAUAAAUAAAUACCUUAAAGAAUAGUUUCACUCUUAGUUGUAUGAGCUGUUAUCUGCUAUCUUAUAGAUGUGUUAAUUUUUUUUUCUUUGUUAAAUAAUUUGAUGUGAGCCUCUCUUGUGUUGCAAAAUUUAUUGGUGAGUAUGUUUUAUUAUAUUUAAUAUUUUAAAAGUUUGGUUUUAUUGUAGUUUGACUCAUAGGCAAUUUACUGUUUUUUUUUUUUAUCUUAAAAUUUCUGUUUUUAUGUGUUCGUUUAGUUUAAUAAUUUGUGGUGGGAUUAAAGGCAAAGUAACUUAAGUUUUGUGAAACUGAAUGAAAUGAUGAGGGUUCUGUAAUGAUCUCUAGAUUUCAUGCAAUUGAAUUGAAAAAUCAUUGGUGUCUUGGGUUGGAUUUGUUAUAUUUCUUGUGAGAAUUCACCAACGAAAUAGAAAAAGUGAAGUUAUUUGUUGUUUAUUCUAGAGAAUAUGAUGCACACAACUGUGGGGAAAAUUCGUUUAAAGGAUAGUUGGUCAAUUAUUUUUAUUUUCGUGUUUUACAUUUAAUUUACGAACCAUAGAUGAAUAAUUUCUUUUUUGAAUGACAAAUAUUAGUAAUUAGUUGUUGAAAUUGUUAAAGGAGAAAAUUUCUUCAACUUUAUGUUUCUGUAUUUUUUUUUUUUUUUACAGAAUUCCAAAAUCAUCUUAUCACUAUAAAAUAAAGAUAACAUUAGCAUAGGUGAAUAGUUGACCAUUAAUUAUUAAGGGAGGAAAAUGGUUUAUCAUUUUCUCUUGCAUACAUGAGAGUGUCUAAAAGUAGAUUCAAAUUUGGGAAAGGUGAAUCUUUUUCUUUUGCCAUAUAUCUCUCUCCUUUGAUUAGGGGUGGGCAAAGUUCAGUUCUGAACUAGAACUGUUUGAAAAUUGAACCGAACUGAAUUUCAGUUUAACAAAAUGAACCGAAUCAGUUUCCAGUUUAAAAAACCGAACCGAACCGGUUUUUUAUUUGGAACCGAACCGAACUGGUUUAACUUAGUUUUUUGUUCAUAUAGACCAAAUUUUACAUAAUUACUCCUAAAUACUUAUAAAAAACCGGUUUGGUUCGGCUCGGUUCAGUUUUUUCAAAUUAAAAAUCGGUUCGGUUCUAUUUUUUAAACUGAAAACCGGUUCGGUUCAGUUCUUUGUUUUAAAAAAUCAGUUCCAAAACAGUUCGGUUCUCAAUUUUUAUAAAUCAAUUCAGUUCAAAACCAGUUCGGUUCGGUUCAGUUCAGCAGUUUAGUUCAAUUUUUGGUUUUUUUAACACCCCUACCUUUGAUCCAUUUGCAGAAAUUUUUACAUAACUUUUCUAUGUAAAACCCCUGAUAACAACCUUUCUUGUGUUAAUGUUUUGUAUGCUUAAGUCCACUAAGUUUGAUUAAGACAUAUUUUAUUAUUUAUGCAGCAAUUAAACAAUUCUAUACAACAAACUUCUUUUAUAGAAGAUGGGGUGUUUCAAUGCCUUGAAAUACAUGAAGAAAAAGGGUGAAAAAUGCAACACACAACAUAGCAACCAUAGUGAGCAUGCAUCUACUUGCACUGCCUCAACUUGAAGCUCAAAAUCACUCAAUGUACACCAACAUUGUAACGCCCCAAAUUUUUUGAUCCAAAAAUUACUUAAAAAUAUUAGUUUUCUUUUAGAAAUAACUAUAAUUUUUUUAGAAGUAGUUCAUCAUGUAAUAAUUUGAAGA